rnacentral:rRNA from 1 species
AGUGAACGCUGGCGGUAGGCCUAACACAUGCAAGUCGAACGGCAGCACAGUAAGAGCUUGCUCUUACGGGUGGCGAGUGGCGGACGGGUGAGGAAUACAUCGGAAUCUACUUUUUCGUGGGGGAUAACGUAGGGAAACUUACGCUAAUACCGCAUACGACCUACGGGUGAAAGCAGGGGAUCUUCGGACCUUGCGCGAUUGAAUGAGCCGAUGUCGGAUUAGCUAGUUGGCGGGGUAAAGGCCCACCAAGGCGACGAUCCGUAGCUGGUCUGAGAGGAUGAUCAGCCACACUGGAACUGAGACACGGGCCAGACUCCUAAGGGAGGCAGCAGUGGGGAAUAUUGGACAAUGGGCGCAAGCCUGAUCCAGCCAUACCGCGUGGGUGAAGAAGGCCUUCGGGUUGUAAAGCCCUUUUGUUGGGAAAGAAAAGCAGCAGGUUAAUACCCCGCUGUUCUGACGGUACCCAAAGAAUAAGCACCGGCUAACUUCGUG